UCUAAUUAUUAUUUUUGUUUCAGACAUUACUUAAUGUUUAUUUGUUGUUGUGCUUAACUUUAAACGCAUAUUAUUCAAUCUCAAGAUAUUCGUCGUUGCAACGUUUGUCAAUGAAUUGCAGUUUAAGUUUAAAGUAGAGUUCAUGAAGUAAUAGAGGAGAGGAUCAAUCGCGAACUAAACCGUACUUUGUGCGCUUGCGCUAGGAAAUCCUGUCAACAGGUCUGAAAGUUGACAUGUGCUGUAAAAUUGAAGGUCGAAAUCCAGUUGUUGUGAGUAAAUGGUGAGUAAAUGUAAACACAACAACUAUGAUGUCUACGCAAUUUAACUGAUUUAAAAUCACUAUAGCACAGACUACUCACUAUUAUAGACUAUAGUCAUGGUGACGAUGUAGAACAAUUGCAUUUAUCAGACGUCGAACAAAGAAUGAUUGCUGCGAAACUCACCCUGGAAGUUCCAACAAAAAGCAUAAUUAAAAGUGUUUGUGAUAAAAUGGCACUGGAUAUGAAAAGAAUCGAUUUAAUCAACAAAGAUGACAUCAGAAAUAUACAAGAUUUCCAUGGAAUUCAUGCAAAAGACGACUGUACACAUCAGGAUGAUUCAGCAAGUGUCCAUUUGUGGGUAUUAGAGUGUCAGGAAACUAAUKAAUUAAAUAUAGUUUUWUAUGCCCCAAKGUGUAAAAGCACAAGAAAAUCCAUCAWUGCAAGACAAAUAUUGUUGUUUAAUCAUCAGGAGUACUGUACAUAAAGAAAUGCUUUUAAACUUUGRGUGCCAUAUAAUUGGGUGAUUUUGAGCUUAGUACUAUUUUGGUAACGGUUUUCCUGUAGCAUUUAUGUUUUCUAACAAGAAAUACCCUUUAACUUAUUAGACCAUUAAGAAACAUGUUGAUAUAAUUAAACCUAACGUUUUUAUGUCAGAUAUUACCAAUACGUUCUACAAUGGAGGGGGCAAAACAAUUGGAAGGGUUCCAAAUCAUUUACUAUGUUCAUGUUAAUAGAGGGUGGCAAUCAAAUCUUUAAAAAAAAUUCUAACACUGAGAACAGGGCUUGGACUUAUAAAAUGUUAAAAUAACUUCAGAAUGUGCUAAUUUUUUGCAAUGCCUUAACAAUUUCUGAGAAAUAAUGUUUAGUGACGAUGACACACGCCUUUGAAACUUAUUUUUCCUAAAACUAUGCUGGACAUUUUCAAUAAUGUCCUUAUUGAUUCAGAAAAGGAUGCAGAAUAAAUACCAGCAUGGCUCUUGAAAGCUUUCAUAGAAUAUGAACAUAUUUUUAUGGUAAAAAUGGUAAAGAAAAAGUCUUGCUGUACUAUCAAAUGUAUUUUUUGUAACAUUUGCUUACAUUCAUUUACCUGUAGUUGUGUUAUUUAAUGAGGAAUACAGUUUAUAAACAUGUCCAUUUUGUUGGCCUGCGGGAUAUAUCACAAUGCCCGGGUUUCUUAAAGUUAAAUAAUUAAUGUUUUAGGUCGGAAAAUAUGCGGCAAAUGCUCAGUUAUAAUUCGAAUCAAAAUGAUUAAACGUUCAUUAAAAGGAUAAAAUUGAAUCUAGUUUUGUUCUGGUUUGUUCAAGUAAUCAACUUGUCAUUUCUUAUAGUUCAGCCAACAAUCAUCAGUAAUUUAAAAUUAGAUAUUAUUUAUCAUUGAAUAUGUAAUGCAUGCAGAUAUUUUGAAAUAUGUAUUUCGGUUAGUUAAGGUGAAAGGUACUUAAGUUUGUUAUAUGGAGCAAUAUUAAAUAACUACAGACAUAUGGUAUUCGUUUUAUAUCUUAAUGUUAUAUAGGCAAGUGCGAGGUGAGGUAGAUAUAAGAGCAGAAAAAUAAUAAAUUUAUUUGCAACA